AUGAACGCUGGCGGCGUGCCUAAUACAUGCAAGUCGAGCGCACAGACGAGGAGCUUGCUCCUCUGACGUUAGCGGCGGACGGGUGAGUAACACGUGGAUAACCUACCUAUAAGACUGGGAUAACUUCGGGAAACCGGAGCUAAUACCGGAUAAUAUAUUGAACCGCAUGGUUCAAUAGUGAAAGACGGUUUUGCUGUCACUUAUAGAUGGAUCCGCGCCGCAUUAGCUAGUUGGUAAGGUAACGGCUUACCAAGGCAACGAUACGUAGCCGACCUGAGAGGGUGAUCGGCCACACUGGAACUGAGACACGGUCCAGACUCCUACGGGAGGCAGCAGUAGGGAAUCUUCCGCAAUGGGCGAAAGCCUGACGGAGCAACGCCGCGUGAGUGAUGAAGGUCUUCGGAUCGUAAAACUCUGUUAUUAGGGAAGAACAAAUGUGUAAGUAACUAUGCACGUCUUGACGGUACCUAAUCAGAAAGCCACGGCUAACUACGUG
rnacentral:rRNA from 1 species